rnacentral:lncRNA from 1 species
ACUAUCACGGAGAGAAAUUCCAGACAGUAAAACUAAGGAAGAAAGCAAGUGUCUUGAAGAUGCCACGGUUACUGUACAUUUUUAAUUAGGAGCAAAACAUUGACUACCAACUUGACUGAAUAUGUCCCCAGUAUCUCUAAUGGUGGAAUAAAAUACAUAGUCUAUAUGCUUCUUAUCGAGACGGUGAAUUAUUCUUAAUAUUGAAGUGCUUGAGGGAACCUGAAAAAAGAAUCUUCAGAGGAAUCCAAGAUGAAGAGAGUCAUUUUGUUACGUUGAAGCCUGAAUUUCCAAAGUAACAACUAAUACCACACACUUAAUUGCACAGUCUUCUGGUUUUGCACUGCAUGUAAUUAUGUAUGUAAACAUACUUUGGAGAUAUACAUUAAUUUUCUGAACCACAGCAAAAUUGUUUAUCUACUCUAGUUGUGUUUGAUUCAAGAAAAUAGUUGGAUAUUUUAAGCUUGUUUUUAUAAAUUCCUCACUCAAUAAGCUCUUCA